GUACACGCUGUGACUAGCAUAUCAAUAAGCGGAGGAAAAGAAACUAACAAGGAUUCCCCUAGUAACGGCGAGUGAAGCGGGAAGAGCUCAAAUUUGAAAUCUUAAAGGGUUUCCCUUUACGAAUUGUAGUUUAAAGAAGUGUUUUCUGUUGAGGUUUUGGUAAAAGUUCUUUGGAAUAGGACAUCAUGGAGGGUGAGAAUCCCGUAUUUGACCUUUACUUUCAACUUUGUGAUACACUUUCAAAGAGUCGGAUUGUUUGGGAAUGCAGUCCAAAAUGGGUGGUAAAUCUCAUCUGAAGCUAAAUAUUGGCGAGAGACCGAUAGCGAACAAGUACCGUGAGGGAAAGAUGAAAAGAACUUUGAAAAGAGAGUUAAACAGUACGUGAAAUUGUCAAAAGGGAAGCGUUUGACACCAGUGUUGUUUUUCUGAAAAUCAAUUAAAGAACUGUUUAUGCUAAGCUGUUUAGACUUUAUCAGCUAUCUGUUUAGUUUUGAGCUUUUCUUUAAUGCACUUUUCAGUUAACAAGUCAACAUCAAUUUCUUUUGCUGUAAAAAAGCUUGAGGAAGGUGGCUUGAGAUUCGUCUUAAGUGUUUAUAGCCUCUUGCCUAUGCAGUCGGAGAGAUUGAGGUCUGCAGCGUAGAUCCUUCGGGGCUAAAUGCAUUUGUGCUAAGUUAUAGCACUUUAUAGACAACUUGUUGACUAUGAUUUGUCUUGUAGCUUACUCGCUUAUGUUAUUUUACCUACGCUUAGGAUGUUGAUAUGCAUGACUGAUAU
rnacentral:rRNA from 1 species